AGGUGUCUUGGCUAAGGUGUCUUGGCUUAUGUGUCUUGGCUAAGGUGUCUUGGCUAAGGUGUCUUGGCUAAUGUGUCUCGGCUAAUGUGUCUUGGCUAAUGUGUCUUGGCUUAUGUGUCUUGGCUAAGGUGUCUUGGCUAAAGUGUCUUGGCUAAUGUGUCUUGGCUAAGUUGUCUUGGCUAAUGUGUCUUGGCUAAUGUGUCUUGGCUAAGGUGUCUUGGCUAAUGUGUCUUGGCUAAGGUGUCUUGGCUAAGGUGUCUUGGCUAAGGUGUCUUGGCUAAGGUGUCUUGGCUAAUGUGUCUUGGCUAAGGUGUCUUUGCUAAUGUGUCUUGGCUAAUGUGUCUUGGCUAAUGUGUCUCGGCUAAUGUGUCUCAGCUAAUGUGUCUUGGCUAAAGUGUCUUGGCUAAUGUGUCUUGGCUAAGGUGUCUUGGCUAAUGUGUCUUGGCUAAAGUGUCUUGGCUAAUGUGUCUUGGCUAAGGUGUCUUGGCUAAGGUGUCUUGGCUAAGGUGUCUUGGCUAAUGUGUCUUGGCUAAGGUGUCUUGGCUAAUGUGUCUUGGCUAAUGUGUCUUGGCUAAUGUGUCUUGGCUAAUGUGUCUCAGCUAAUGUGUCUUGGCUAAAGUGUCUUGGCUAAUGUGUCUUGGCUAAUGUGUCUUGGCUAAGGUGUCUUGGCUAAGGUGUCAUGGCUAAGGUGUCUUGGCUAAUGUGUCUUGGCUAAUGUGUCUUGGCUAAUGUGUCUUGGCUAAGGUGUCUUGGCUAAUGUGUCUUGGCUACUGUGUCUCGGCUAAUGUGUCUUGGCUAAGGUGUCUUGGCUAAGGUGUUUUGGCUAAUGUGUCUUGGCUUAGGUGUCUUGGCUAAUGUGUCUUGGCUAAUGUGUCUUGGCUAAUGUGUCUUGGCUAAGGUGUCUUGGCUAAUGUGUCUUGGCUAAUGUGUCUUGGCUAAUGUGUCUUGGCUAAUGUGUCUUGGCUAAGGUGUCUUGGCUAAGGUGUCUUGGCUAAGGUGUCUUGGCUAAGGUGUCUUGGUUAAGGUGUCUUGGCUAAUGUGUCUUGGCUAAUGUGUCUUGGCUAAGGUGUCUUGGCUAAGGUGUCUUGGCUAAUGUGUCUCGGCUAAUGUGUCUUAGCUAAUGUGUCUUGGCUAAGGUGUCUUGGCUAAGGUGUCAUGGCUAAGGUGUCUUGGCUAAUGUGUCUUGGCUAAUGUGUCUUGGCUAAGGUGUCUUGGCUAAUGUGUCUUGGCUAAUGUGUCUUGGCUAAUGUGUCUUGGCUAAUGUGUCUUGGCUAAUGUGUCUUGGCUAAUGUGUCUUGGCUAAGGUGUCUUGGCUAAUGUGUCUUGGCUAAGGUGUCUUGGCUAAGGUGUCUUGGCUAAGGUGUCUCGGCUAAUGUGUCUUGGCUAAUGUGUCUUGGCUAAUGUGUCUUGGCUAAUGUGUCUUGGCUAAUGUGUCUUGGCUAAGGUGUCUCGGCUAAUGUGUCUUGGCUAAUGUGUCUUGGCUAAUGUGUCUUGGCUAAUGUGUCUUGGCUAAUGUGUCUUGGCUAAGGUGUCUUGGCUAAU